GUUCAACGGCCGCGGUAUCCUAACCGUGCGAAGGUAGCGUAAUCACUUGUCCUUUAAAUAAGGACUAGUAUGAAUGGCAUCACGAAGGUUACACUGUCUCCUCUCUCUAAUCAGUGAAACUAAUCUUCCCGUGAAGAAGCGGGAAUCUACAUAUAAGACGAGAAGACCCUAUGGAGCUUUAAACAAAAUAACAAAUACCACUUCAAAUAUUAACUCCAGAGAACUAAUCUUUAUAUCGGUAUUUUGUUCAUUAGUUUUAGGUUGGGGUGACCGCGGAGCAAAAAACAACCUCCGCAUUGAACGGAAUUACCCUAAACAAAAAGCUACAACUUUAUGUAUCAGCACACUGACAUUAAUUGACCCAAUAAUUUGAUCAACGAACCAAGUUACCCUAGGGAUAACAGCGCAAUCCAUUUCAAGAGCCCCUAUCGACAAAUGGGUUUACGACCUCGAUGUUGGAUCAGGGUCCCCCAGUGGUGCAGCCGCUACUAAAGGUUCGUUUGUUCAACGAUUAAAACCC
rnacentral:rRNA from 1 species